CGGAGGCAGCAGUGGGGAAUUUUGGACAAUGGACGCAAGUCUGAUCCAGCCAUGCCGCGUGCGGGAAGAAGGCCUUCGGGUUGUAAACCGCUUUUGUCAGGGAAGAAACGGGUUUCUCUAAUGCAGAGACCUAAUGACGGUACCUGAAGAAUAAGCACCGGCUAACUACGUGCCAGCAGCCGCGGUAAUACGUAGGGUGCAAGCGUUAAUCGGAAUUACUGGGCGUAAAGCGUGCGCAGGCGGUUAUGCAAGACAGAGGUGAAAUCCCCGGGCUCAACCUGGGAACUGCCUUUGUGACUGCAUAGCUAGAGUACGGUAGAGGGGGAUGGAAUUCCGCGUGUAGCAGUGAAAUGCGUAGAUAUGCGGAGGAACACCGAUGGCGAAGGCAAUCCCCUGGACCUGUACUGACGCUCAUGCACGAAAGCGUGGGGAGCAAACAGGAUUAGAUACCCGUGUAGUCCC
rnacentral:rRNA from 1 species